ACCUCACAAUAAGAACACACGCGCGACCCCCAGCCUGAAAUAUAGCGACUCUCUCCUCAUUUACGAGCUUCUCUCUCAACUCAAACUUAACUCUGAUCCGAUACGACGCCCACCGUCUCCUCUGUUUCUCGCUCAGGGGAUGUAUUGAAGGAGAUAGACGCAGGCAAUAUUUUGAAGGAAAGGGGUGUUCAGAGAAGAAUUCAGGAGUCGGGACCAUGCCGUGGCAGAGGAUUGAAACGGGUCACCAGGAUGUUGUCCAUGAUGUAGCCAUGGAUUACUAUGGAAAGCGUCUAGCAUCGGCUUCAUCAGAUUCCACUAUUAAGAUAAUUGGUGUCGGCAGUAAUGCGGUUUCACAGCACCUUGCUACGUUGUCAGGUCACAGAGGUCCUGUUUGGCAGGUGGGUUGGGACUUGGGCGCAUCCCAAGUUUGGGUAGAUCCUUGCUUCGUGCUCGUAUGAUGGGCAAGUGAUAAUUUGGAAGGAGGGUAAUCCAAAUGAGCGACAUCAGGCUCAUGUUUUCAAUGAGCAUAGUUCGUCUGUGAAUUCCAUUUGUUGGGCGCCUCAUGAACUUGGACUCGUCUUAGCUUAUGGUUCAUCUGAUGGGAACAUCUCGGUUUUCACUGCAAGGGCGGAUGGUGGUUGAGACAUCCCUAGGAUAGGCCAAGCACACCUUGUUGGAGUAACAUCCGUGUCGUGGGCGCAUGGCUCCUGGUUCUUUAGUUGA